rnacentral:tRNA from 1 species
AGGUAAGAUGACCGAGAGAGAGGUGGUGGUUUGUAGCCCCAACAACAGAGGUUCAAGUCCUCUUCUUACCA